AAUUAUACAUUUUUGAAUAAUAAAUAUUAUUUAUUUUAACUUUCCAAAAAUUAAUUAAUAGUAUAUAUUUUUAAGGUAAUGAAUACAUAGCAGUAUUUAAGUUACCGCCAUUAUUGUUUCAACAGCCAACCAUAAACCUUGAUAGAAAACGUACAAUUGAUGGGAAUCAUUCUGGAGACAUUCUAAAGUAAAGCAAGCCGCUGCGUUUAUAACAUUUAUAUCU